rnacentral:rRNA from 1 species
AUACGGAGGGUGCAAGCGUUACUCGGAAUCACUGGGCGUAAAGCGCGCGCAGGCGGGCUGAUAAGUUGGAUGUGAAAGCCUACGGCUCAACCGUAGAACUGCAUCCAAAACUGUCAGUCUAGAGUCUGGGAGGGGAAGAUGGAAUUAGUCGUGUAGGGGUAAAAUCCGUAGAGAUAACUAGGAAUACCAAAAGCGAAGGCGAUCUUCUGGAACAGUACUGACGCUGAGGCGCGAAAGCGUGGGGAGCAAACAGGAUUAGAUACCCUAGUAGUCC